UAUUGGUCAAUGGGCGCGAGCCUGAACCAGCCAAGUAGCGUGAAGGAUGACGGCCCUAUGGGUUGUAAACUUCUUUUAUAUGGGAAUAANGUUUGGUAUGUAUACCAUUUUGUAUGUACCAUAUGAAUAAGCAUCGGCUAACUCCGUGCCAGCAGCCGCGGUAAUACGGAGGAUGCGAGCGUUAUCCGGAUUUAUUGGGUUUAAAGGGUGCGUAGGCGGGCUUUUAAGUCAGCGGUAAAAAUUCGGGGCUCAACCCCGUCCGGCCGUUGAAACUGGGGGCCUUGAGUGGGCGAGAAGAAGGCGGAAUGCGUGGUGUAGCGGUGAAAUGCAUAGAUAUCACGCAGAACCCCGAUUGCGAAGGCAGCCUUCCGGCGCCCUACUGACGCUGAGGCACGAAAGUGCGGGGAUCGAACAG
rnacentral:rRNA from 1 species